AAGACCUACAAGGGUUUUAUUUGCAUAUUCAUUUGUCUGGUCACAAAAGCUAUUCAUAUCGAGCUUGUCUCAGAUAUGACUUCCGAAGGUUUUUUGGCUGCAUUCCGAAGGUUCACUGCGCGAAGAGGAAGCUGUAGUCACUUGUACAGUGACAAUGGAACCAACUUUGUGGGAGCCAACAAAGAGCUUAUAAAGAUGAAUCGUCAAUUUCUUCAAAUUCUUUCGCCUGACGUCCGUGCCCAGAUGGAAAAUGAAGGAACUUCCUGGAGUUUUAUUCCGCCUGCCUCACCACACUUCGGUGGAUUAUGGGAGGCAGGAGUAAAAUCAGUUAAUUCAAAUCGAAGCCUCACUUAACUCCAGACCGCUGUGCCCACUCACCGAUGAUCCUACGGACUAAAGUGUACUCACUCCUGCCCAUUUCCUUAUUGGAGAACCUACGAAUAUUGUUCCAGAACCAUCAUUACUUGAUCUUAAAACCAACCGACUCAACAGAUGGCAACAUAUCCAACAAAUGUUCCAGCACUUUUGGGAUAGAUGGCACAAGGAAUAUCUAUCACGCCUUCAACAACGUCCAAAGUGGACCAAAUCCAAAAGAAACAUCGAAAGAAACGACAUAGUAAUCAUCAAAGAUGAAAGAUAUCCUCCAGCGAAGUGGCCACUGGCUAGAGUAGUGGAGACUCAUCCAGGUGCAGACGGCAUAUGCAGGGUUGUAUCUGUGUAUGCAAAUGGAAAACAAUUCAAACGCCCAAUCACAAAGUUAUGUCUACUUCCGGAAGUUAACACACCAAAUUCAGCAUGUAACGACAAUUCCACAACAUAACAACAUUCAACUUUAUUUACACAUCUUUAAUAAGUUCAAAAGGAUUCAAUAUUCUCAACAACGUUAGCGAGUAUCAGGCGCUAAAAAUCCUGAUCCCUUUUUUUUCAACAUUCAUUCUAAUGUAUAUAAGAGGAAAUGCUUGUAUACCUUUAUUUUUAUCUUUAUCAAAGAAUCUAUCUUUUUUUGUAUCUUAAGUAAAGAACAGUAGUUCUUCCCCGGCGGUAUGUUUAAGAUCUAUUACAAUUAUGUCCGAAAAUAAUAUUGUUAAUCUUAACGAAACUAAUGGCAACACCUCUAGCUUAACCCAAGAGCAAGUUGUCCGUAAUCUCUUUCACUUUGGCUGCAUACCGCAUCGGGAUAAGUUCUUUUCUUCAUAAUUACAUUGAUAUACACUUUAAUUUUCUAUUAUAC